CCCAGUUUUGCCUGUCAGGUGUGGACUUGUGU
rnacentral:piRNA from 1 species